rnacentral:rRNA from 1 species
CAGUAGCCGCGGUGAGACAGAGGUCCCGAGCGUUGUUCGGAUUCAUUGGGCGUAAAGGGUGUGUAGGAGGUCGGGUAAGUCGUGUGUGAAAUCUCAGAGCUUAACUCUGAAACUGCGCUCGAUACUGCCCGGCUAGAGGAUCGGAGGGGGUAACGGAAUUCAUGGUGUAGCAGUGAAAUGCGUAGAUAUCAUGAGGAACACCGGUGGCGAAGGCGGUUACCUGGAAGAUUCCUGACUCUGAAACACGAAAGCCAGGGGAGCAAACGGGAUUAGAUACCCCAGUAGUCCCUGUCUCUUAUAC